rnacentral:rRNA from 1 species
CCUACGGGAGGCAGCAGUGGGGAAUAUUGGACAAUGGGGGCAACCCUGAUCCAGCAAUGCCGCGUGAGUGAUGAAGGCCUUAGGGUUGUAAAGCUCUUUUACCGGGGACGAUGAUGACGGUACCCGGAGAAUAAGCCCCGGCUAACUUCGUGCCAGCAGCCGCGGUAAUACGAAGGGGGCGAGCGUUGUUCGGAGUUACUGGGCGUAAAGGGCGCGUAGGCGGCGCUCCAAGUUAGGCGUGAAAGCCCCGGGCUCAACCUGGGAAUAGCGCUUAAGACUGGAGUGCUUGAGUGCGGGAGAGGUGGGUGGAAUUCCCAGUGUAGAGGUGAAAUUCGUAGAUAUUGGGAAGAACACCAGUGGCGAAGGCGGCUCACUGGCCCGCAACUGACGCUGAGGCGCGAAAGCGUGGGGAGCAAACAGGAUUAGAUACCCUGGUAGUCCACGCCGUAAACGAUGAGUGCUAGACGUUAGGGUAGGACGUUAGUCUCUUAGUUGUCGUCAGCUAACGACAUGAAGCACUCCGCCGUCGGGGUAGGUACGGCCGGCCGAACGGUUAAAACGUAACGAAAUAGAAGUUAGACGG